ACUACAGAAAAUCGCAUGGCUCUGAACGGAAAAUGAAUUACUCUUACUAGCUGUUGCAAAAUUUCAUGUGCCAUGGCUAAUUGUUUGUGCAAAAAGAUUUUGAUUUGCACAAUAGUGACUCAUCUUUUGUUCACACAGAGUCCGUGUUGGCCGAGUACCUCUUGAACUGCCCCCCCUGCGUUGGCAAAAUAAGCGCACUUGAAAAAACACUAAGAUGCUAUGCAGAAAAGAAGAGGGAAACUGUUGUAAUCCCUACUGUCGGAGACAACUUUGAUUCCCUUGCAUAAGCAUACAACUACUACAAUCUAUAUUCUUGGGAAAUUAGGUUCGGAGUUAGAUACGGAAAAAAGCAGAUUAAAUGUCGAGAGAACAAAAUGUAUGCAAGAAAUAGUUUGCGGCUACUCAGUUAGUAAUUCUUUCCAAUUCCAGCCAUGAACAUACUCUGCCAAUGUUCUUAUAUACAGAAAAAUAGAAUUCUCUGUUAACUCAUGUAUUGUUGGUUGCGACAAAAAACAAAUUGCAGGGUGUACCAAAAAGAAGUAACACACGGUCUUGCUGAUGUAGAUGCCCAUCAAUGAUAAGGUUGCUACGCUCAAAGGACAACGGGUGGUACAUCAACGAGCACAGGACACUCCACAAUCACUCUCUGACAGAUAAGUGUGGACAGAAAAUAUGCUGCCACUCGCAUAGACAUAUCGACAUUUACACACGAGAUGUUAUCAAGCAGUUGCAUGAAAAUAAUAUUAGCAUUGGCAAAGUGUACAACAUAAUUGGCAGUUUCUUUGGCUCCAUGAGCAGUGUGCCUUUCAGCAAGAGAGCUUUGAGGGGGCUUUGUGGAGAGAUUAGCCGAGAUCAGGCAGACGAUGACAUCAGAAAGUUUUUGCUGAGUUGGGAUCCAAAGAUUCUGGGUUGUAUACAGAGUACAACGGGAUGCGGACAGCCGCAUACGAAAUCUGCUAUGGUCGACAGGCGCAAGCAGGGCACAAUACCAUUACCUUGGAGAUGCAAUAACUUUUGAUACAACAUACCGUACAAACAUGUCCUUGAUGUCCUUGGAAUGGAUCAGAUACCAGCAAGCACAUUCUCAAACGCUGGACAAAGGAUGCAAGGGAUGUGUUGCCAGAACAUCUGGCACACCUUCAGAAAGAUAAGAUUAGUCUCAACUCAAUAACAUUCAGACCCUCGAAUCUAUACACUCAUGCCCUUGAAGUUGUCCGGCUUGGUGAUGCCAACACAUCGACAUAUGAAUGUGCAAUGGAUAUACUGAAGAAAGCAAUGGAUACACUGACGUCCAUGGCCAGCGUGCGUGACGGGAUGGGGCUUGAAGACAGAAUGCAUUCAGAUAAGGGGAAAGAAAAAGAGCCGAUUCCAGCACAUCCAGCAGAAAGUCACAGAGAGAGUGAUGCCGAAGGUAGUGCAGUUGGGAAUUUCAUCAGCUUAAAGCCUCCAGAACGAAAGCGUAAACCAGGCCGACCAACUACCUGCUGGGACAAGCCUCCGUAUGAUGAUCGAGGCGCAAAGAGCAAAAAAUGCAAGCAAGCCCCAUAUGGAAAAGCUCCUGAUGGUUGUGGGACAAGCAAACAUACUCGUUUCUGCAGUAUAUGCCAUGGGGCAGGUCACAUGAGUACUACACAUGUCCACACAGGGGUGAUCUUCCUGGCAAAGAAAGGAAGGAGGCAAAAUGCUCAAACUGCGGUGUUGGCGGACACAAGAAGAACACCUGCAACAAACCCAAAGUGGCGUUGCAUGCUGUUGAAAAUGCAACUUUGGAUCAGCUUUCCAUUUAGAAAUCCUGUAGUCUGUUGUGUUGUGGAUGGUUCCGUAGGCGUAAGGGUUCUGCAGUGUCUUGUAAUGUUGAGGGCUCCGUGUCCAUUAAUCAGUAAAACUAUUCCAAUAAUAAAAGACUGCCAUUUAUCAA